rnacentral:rRNA from 1 species
GAUGAACGCUGGCGGCGUGCCUAAUACAUGCAAGUCGAGCGAACAGACGAGGAGCUUGCUCCUCUGACGUUAGCGGCGGACGGGUGAGUAACACGUGGAUAACCUACCUAUAAGACUUGGAUAACUUCGGGAAACCGGAGCUAAUACCGGAUAAUAUAUUUAACCGCAUGGUUCAAUAGUGAAAGACGGUUUUGCUGUCACUUAUAGAUGGAUCCGCGCCGCAUUAGCUAGUUGGUAAGGUAACGGCUUACCAAGGCGACGAUGCGUAGCCGACCUGAGAGGGUGAUCGGCCACACUGGAACUGAGACACGGUCCAGAGUCCUACGGGAGGCAGCAGUAGGGAAUCGUGCGCAAUGGGCGAAAGCCUGAAGGAGCAACGCAGCGUGAGUGAUGAAGGUCUUCGGAUCGUAAAACUCUGUUAUUAGGGAAGAACAAAUGUGUAAGUAACUAUGCACGUCUUGACGGUACCUAAUCAGAAAGCCACGGCUAACUACGUG